GACGAACGCUGGCGGCGUGCUUAACACAUGCAAGUCGAACGGGAAGGCCCUGCUUUUGUGGUGUGCUCGAGUGGCGAACGGGUGAGUAACACGUGAGUAACCUGCCCUUGACUUUGGGAUAACUUCAGGAAACUGGGGCUAAUACCGGAUAGGAGCUCCUGCUGCAUGGGGGGGGUUGGAAAGUUUCGGCGGUUGGGGAUGGACUCGCGGCUUAUCAGCUUGUUGGUGGGGUAGUGGCUUACCAAGGCUUUGACGGGUAGCCGGCCUGAGAGGGUGACCGGCCACAUUGGGACUGAGAUACGGCCCAGACUCCUACGGGAGGCAGCAGUGGGGAAUAUUGCACAAUGGGCGGAAGCCUGAUGCAGCAACGCCGCGUGCGGGAUGACGGCCUUCGGGUUGUAAACCGCUUUCGCCUGUGACGAAGCGUGAGUGACGGUAAUGGGUAAAGAAGCACCGGCUAACUACGUG
rnacentral:rRNA from 1 species